AGUUCAUGGAAAACUUUUCCUAGACCCGAUCAUUCAUGUCGGUGAGCGAGGCACAAAAUAAUUAGGGUUUCAUUUGGAUUGAUCGGAUUCCGAUGCCCCGAGUUGGACUUGAUGAGUUGCACUUGAAUUAGGGUUUCGAUCCUGCACGCAAGGUCGACCCCUUUCUCGGAUCGCCCGAAAAUCCGCCAUGGAGUCGAUCACGAAGAUUUUCGUUCGAAUUGUAUGGAACGGAAGCUUUUCGACGUGCGGGAAGUAGCAUUCGAUCGCGUGAUUAGGGUUUGGUGUGAACAGGAUAAUCAUAUGUUUGAAUGCAUCGUGGUGUUUGCAUUGUGAGUCUUGUGAUUUCAUGAUUGAGAUCGGUGCAAAGUUAAUCAUGGACGUAGAAUAUACAUGCUCCAAGAAGCACCGUAGUUUUUUUUUUUUUUUUUUUUUCUAAUUUAAAUUUAAAUUUAUUUUAAAUAUAUGUAUGUGUGUGUAUCUAUAUCUAUAUAUAUAUAUAUACAAAUAUUUGUGUGUCAGUAACUGAGUGUCAAUUGUAUGCCAGAUUUAUGACUGUAAGACGUGUGUUUGUGAUUCACUCAGGUACAUGAGAUUAUAGAAUCAAGCGGUACAUGGCCAGCAUGCAAUCGUAGAGAUGGCUACGAGGGUGGUCAGUGAGAAGUUGCCCCUAGCCGAUUGCCAUCGAACGGAAAGGUUUUGGGGAUGAAUAUAAUGAUCGAUGCUUGGUUUCGGUACACUGGACCUGCUGUUAUAGUGGUCAAUAAAGUGGUGGAUAAAUUGUAACGGAAAGAAUCAGAGAGGUUGCAGGCGUCCGAUAGUCUUUCAAUGCGUGGGGUGAUCUUGGAUGCAGAGCAUGUUGCACAAAUUCCUCACCAUUUGAUGCUUGAUUGAGGGUGGCUCCAUUCACGUCGGUAGGGAAGGGACAUGCUUAACAACUGAAGAGUACCUGAGCAACUCAAUUCCAAAUCCAAAUCUAAACGGAAAUGCCAUAGAGUAACAGUCCAAGCUUUGCCAAGUAGGUGUUUUGGCUGCCCCAUGAUGUCGAUGGUAUUUCCAUCUCCUCCCUACAUUAGAUUACGGGCGAAUACGCGAUUUCAUAAUAACUGGCCGGAUUACUGAAUACAAUGUUGCGAACUCGUCUCAUAUAGGAUUAUUGUCUGCCAGGAAAAUUAAAGUGGAAUUGAAGCAAGCUUCAUUAAAUUGUCGGUAGCAAUUAUAAGUGUCAGCACUUCUUCUAGAUUAGCUUCGGUGUGGUUGGUUUGAUGGGUGAUUUAGUUCUAGUUCGUGGUGACAAUGAGCAAGUGAUGAAUAAGCAUUUCAUGUUUCAUGUUCUGCACAAAAUACUACGUACAAAGUGCUGACUGCAUUAUGGCUUAUAGAAGAUAAGUGAAUGAGACAAUUCUAGUUACUUCAAGUUA